AGUGAACGCUGGCGGUAGGCCUAACACAUGCAAGUCGAACGGCAGCACAGUAGGAGCUUGCUCUUACGGGUGGCGAGUGGCGGACGGGUGAGGAAUACAUCGGAAUCUACUUUUUCGUGGGGGAUAACGUAGGGAAACUUACGCUAAUACCGCAUACGACCUACGGGUGAAAGCAGGGGAUCUUCGGACCUUGCGCGAUUGAAUGAGCCGAUGUCGGAUUAGCUAGUUGGCGGGGUAAAGGCCCACCAAGGCGACGAUCCGUAGCUGGUCUGAGAGGAUGAUCAGACACACUGGAACUGAGACACGGUCCAGACGCCUACGGGAGGCAGCAGUGGGGAAUAUUGGACAAUGGGCGGAAGCCUGAUCCAGCCAUACCGCGUGGGUGAAGAAGGCCUUCGGGUUGUAAAGCCCUUUUGUUGGGAAAGAAAAGCAGCAGGUUAAUACCCCGCUGUUCUGACGGUACCCAAAGAAUAAGCACCGGCUAACUUCGUG
rnacentral:rRNA from 1 species